GUCCAGUGAUGAGACCAAGGCGAAUAUGAGCUUACUGAAUGAGAGUUGGGUUCUUCUUGCCUCGAUUGGCAGGUAAUCUUGGCAGUGUAGGGGAGGAUUCCUGCUCUGCUGUAAGGGCCUGCCCACAGUGAUUUGGCUCAACCCCAAAUUAUUCCUUUAAAGUCUCAGGAGCAUAAUUGGGACCAAGCUAACAGUGUGUGUGAGUGUAUGUGUGUACGAGGCAUGAGGUUAGCCCAGCUCUCUUCACAGUUCAGUUAGCUGUGAGUUUUGUCUUUGGUAAUCUGAGGACA
ensembl:snoRNA small nucleolar RNA U85